GGAAGAGUGGCCGAGCGGUUUAAGGCACCGGUCUUGGGGCCGUAGGCCCUAGUGCAGACUUAUGCUUGCAGAGCAAGCGUUAGUCGGAACUAAAACCGGCAAGGGGCAACCCUUCGUGGGUUCGAAUCCCACCUCUUCCGCCA
rnacentral:tRNA from 1 species